rnacentral:lncRNA from 1 species
GCUGCUAGGAGGAUUUGUUUCUGGAUUUGUUCAAGUCAUGGACUCAGCAUAUGGUGUAUUCAGUGAGAGCGAAGUCAUUAGCAAGGGGAAACCUAUGACUGUUCAAGUGUGGAGUCUUGAAAACCGAAAAACAAAGAGAAAAUGGGGUUGUUGUAUGUCUAGCAUCCAAUUACUAGACUCCAGAAGCAUUCUCUCCUGACGUUUCGCCCACAUCUAUGGCAGGCAUCCUCAGAGGUUGUGAGGUAUGGAGAAAACUAAGCAAAGAGGUUAAUAUAUAUCUGUGGAAAGUCUAGGGUGAGAGAGGUCAGUGUGAAUGUGUAGUUAAUCACUUAAAUUAGCAUUGAAAAGCUUAUCUGCUGUCUUCUUCCUGCCUCUGGGGCAUCCUUUGUUUAGAGUCGUUAACUGCCCUUGGUUGAUUCAUGUCUGGAAACCCUCUGUUUUCAGAGUAUUGCUUUUUAUUUACUGUUCUGAUUUUUGAGUUUUGUAAUACUGGUAGCCAGAUUUUGUUCAUUUUCAUGGUUUCUUCCUUUCUGUUGAAGUUGUCCACAUGCUUGUGGAUUUCAAUGGCUUCUCUGUGUAGUCUGACAUGAUAGUUGUUAGAAUGAACCAGCCUGGACACAGAAUACUAUUUGAGAACACAAAAAUGCUGGACCAUUCUAACAACUAUCAUGUCAGACUACACAGAGAAGCCAUUGAAAUCCACAAGCAUGUGGACAACUUCAACAGAAAGGAAGAAACCAUGAAAAUGAACAAAAUCUGGCUACCAGUAUUACAAAACUCAAAAAUCAGAACAGUAAAUAAAAAGCAAUACUCUGAAAACAGAGGGUUUCCAGACAUGAAUCAACCAAGGGCAGUUAACGACUCUAAACAAAGGAUGCCCCAGAGGCAGGAAGAAGACAGCAGAUAAGCUUUUCAAUGCUAAUUUAAGUGAUUAACUACACAUUCACACUGACCUCUCUCACCCUAGACUUUCCACAGAUAUAUAUUAACCUCUUUGCUUAGUUUUCUCCAUACCUCACAACCUCUGAGGAUGCCUGCCAUAGAUGUGGGCGAAACGUCAGGAGAGAAUGCUUCUGGAACAUGGCCACACAGCCCGAAAGACAUACAACAACCCUGUGAUCCCGGCCAUGAAAGCCUUCGACAACACAAAGAGAAAAUGGAAAUUGUGAGAAUAUUAGCAUCCAAUUACUAGACUACUAUUU